GAGUCCGCCGUGGAAGAUGUAGAUGACGCCACGUAUUCACUUGGUGACCUGAGUUGUGGGGAUGUUCAGCUGUGGGCUACAGAUCGAUGUAAGAGUGGUAGUGCCAUCAUGGUGUACAGGCCUAUGGAAGGUGCAGUGAUCCAUGGAAUUUGCAAACUGCUGACAAUGAGACAGGCGAGUGUUACUGAGGCGACGGAGUCAUUCCUGCAUGUUAUUAUGACACGGUUACAAAGGCAUCAGGUACUGCAAAUCUGCUACGCCAGGAAGUGUGCCAGCUGAAGGCAUGCAAGGGUGCUGAUAUUUCGCAAGCAUGGCAACAAAUGCUGUCCGUCAUCGCAACAGCUAUUCCCGAAGUGAAAAUCAAUUGUGAAGAUUUGGAAGUUACAUCUGCAGUGCUAGCGAAUCUGAUAAGCUGCCUGCAUGCCACGGCUGCCGCUGCUAUCAGGAAAGCGUCAAUAGCACCAUCCAAAGCUGCUGAAGCCAUCCCCGAACCGGUGAUUGACAAUUUGUCUCACCUUGCUGAAAAGUACCAUGGUGGUUGGUGCUUGGUGGCCGUGCGGCGUGAGCUGGAAGGAGCAAGGUGUCGCAACGACAACUUGCUGCAGCUUAUACCUUUAUUUGGCAAGGAUGCCGUGUCAAGCCUUCAGCCUUGUU